GAUGAACGCUGGCGGCGUGCCUAGUACAUGCAAGUCGAGCGAACAGACGAGGAGCUUGCUCCUCUGACGUUAGCGGCGGACGGGUGAGUAACACGUGGAUAACCUACCUAUAGGACUGGGAUAACUUCGGGAAACCGGAGCUAAUACCGGAUAAUAUAUUGAACCGCAUGGUUCAAUAGUGAAAGACGGUUUUGCUGUCACUUAUAGAUGGAUCCGCGCCGCAUUAGCUAGUUGGUAAGGUAACGGCUUACCAAGGCAACGAUGCGUAGCCGACCUGAGGGGGUGAUCGGCCACACUGGAACUGAGACACGGUCCAGACUCCUACGGGAGGCAGCAGUAGGGAAUCUUCCGCAAUGGGCGAAAGCUUGACGGAGCAACGCCGCGUGAGUGAUGAAGGUCUUCGGAUCGUAAAACUCUGUUAUUAGGGAAGAACAAAUGUGUAAGUAACUAUGCACGUCUUGACGGUACCUAAUCAGAAAGCCACGGCUAACUACGUG
rnacentral:rRNA from 1 species